CACAUGCAAGUCGAACGCUCGUAGCAAUACGGGAGUGGCAGACGGGUGAGUAACGCGUGGGUACAUACCUCCGGUUCGGAAUAGCUCAGGGAAACUUGGAUUAAUACCGGAUACGGCUGAGAGGCGAAAGAUUUAUCGCCGGAGGAUUGGCCCGCGUUCGAUUAGCUUGUUGGUGAGGUAACGGCUCACCAAGGCGAUGAUCGAUAGCUGGUCUGAGAGGAUGAUCAGCCACAUUGGGACUGAGACACGGCCCAAACUCCUACGGGAGGCAGCAGUGGGGAAUAUUGGACAAUGGGCGCAAGCCUGAUCCAGCCAUGCCGCGUGAGUGAUGACGGCCUUAGGGUUGUAAAGCUCUUUCGCUCGGGACGAUAAUGACGGUACCGAGAUAAGAAGCCCCGGCUAACUUCGUGCCAGCAGCCGCGGUAAUACGAAGGGGGCUAGCGUUGUUCGGAAUUACUGGGCGUAAAGCGCGUGUAGGCGGGUCUUUAAGUCAGGGGUGAAAUGCCAAGGCUCAACCUUGGAACUGCCUUUGAUACUGGAGAUCUUGAGUCCGGGAGAGGUGAGUGGAAUUGCGAGUGUAGAGGUGAAAUUCGUAGAUAUUCGCAAGAACACCAGUGGCGAAGGCGGCUCACUGGCCCGGAACUGACGCUGAGACGCGAAAGCGUGGGGAGCAAACAGGAUUAGAUACCCUGGUAGUCCACGCUGUAAACGAUGGAUGCUAGCCGUUGGGGAGCUUGCUCUUCAGUGGCGCAGCUAACGCUUUAAGCAUCCCGCCUGGGGAGUACGGUCGCAAGAUUAAAACUCAAAGGAAUUGACGG
rnacentral:rRNA from 2 species